rnacentral:rRNA from 1 species
AGCGAACGCUGGCGGCAGGCUUAACACAUGCAAGUCGAGCGGGCACUUCGGUGUCAGCGGCAGACGGGUGAGUAACACGUGGGAACGUACCCUUUGGUUCGGAAUAACGCUGGGAAACUAGCGCUAAUACCGGAUACGCCCUUUUGGGGAAAGGCUUGCUGCCGAAGGAUCGGCCCGCGUCUGAUUAGCUAGUUGGUGGGGUAAUGGCCUACCAAGGCGACGAUCAGUAGCUGGUCUGAGAGGAUGAUCAGCCACACUGGGACUGAGACACGGCCCAGACUCCUACGGGAGGCAGCAGUGGGGAAUAUUGGACAAUGGGCGCAAGCCUGAUCCAGCCAUGCCGCGUGAGUGAUGAAGGCCUUAGGGUUGUAAAGCUCUUUUGCCCGGGACGAUAAUGACGGUACCGGAAGAAUAAGCCCCGGCUAACUUCGUG